rnacentral:rRNA from 1 species
UACGGAAGGGGCAAGCGUUGUUCGGAAUCAUUGGGCGUAAAGCGCACGUAGGCGGAUUGCUAAGUCAGGGGUGAAAUCCUGGAGCUCAACUCCAGAACUGCCUUUGAUACUGGCGACCUUGAGUCCGGGAGAGGUGAGUGGAACUGCGAGUGUAGAGGUGAAAUUCGUAGAUAUUCGCAAGAACACCAGUGGCGAAGGCGGCUCACUGGACAUGUAUUGACGCUGAGGUGCGAAAGCGUGGGGAGCAAACAGG